rnacentral:rRNA from 1 species
GAUGAACGCUGGCGGCGUGCCUAAUACAUGCAAGUCGAGCGAACGGACGAGAAGCUUGCUUCUCUGAUGUUAGCGGCGGACGGGUGAGUAACACGUGGAUAACCUACCUAUAAGACUGGGAUAACUUCGGGAAACCGUAGCUAAUACCGGAUAAUAUUUUGAACCGCAUGGUUCAAAAGUGAAAGACGGUCUUGCUGUUACUUAUAGAUGGAUCCGCGCUGCAUUAGCUAGUUGGUAAGGUAACGGCUUACCAAGGCAACGAUGCAUAGCCGACCUGAGAGGGUGAUCGGCCACACUGGAACUGAGACACGGUCCAGACUCCUACGGGAGGCAGCAGUAGGGAAUCUUCCGCAAUGGGCGAGAGCCUGACGGAGCAACGCCGCGUGAGUGAUGAAGGUCUUCGGAUCGUAAAACUCUGUUAUUAGGGAAGAACAUAUGUGUAAGUAACUGUGCACAUCUUGACGGUACCUAAUCAGAAAGCCACGGCUAACUACGUG